AUUCUACAAGGAACACACUGACACUAAAAAGGAGGAAGGUGACAGGCUGUGCCACCCCCUGGAUUUGUGAUAAGUAAGAAGGAUUAGUGCCUGUGGUCCUGAACUUCGUACUCCUGCAAAUCAACUCAGUCACAUUUGUUGCUGUCCAGGGUCCUGACCUUAGGAGGUUGGCUCAGGCAAUCUUGCUUUCCACCACCCCGUCUGGGCUGCUGUCGCCACAUCUCAGCGAUGGAGAUGGCUAUGGAUCAGGACAGCAGGCGAUUUCUGCAAGACAAUAAUCUAUUGCUACAGCAUGUGGAAUGAAGAAAAUAAACUGUCAAAAGCCUGUGAAUUAUUUACCUAAUGGAUUGAAUAAUUGAAUUAUUAA